rnacentral:lncRNA from 13 species
UGCCUUGGUAUUUUUGUUCCCACAAAAUUGAUGUAUAUGUCUACAAAGAAACCUGAACAUAGCAGCUUCAUUCAUGAUUGCCCAACCUUGAGAAGCAACCAAUACGUCCUCUAGUAGGUUUUGUCUCCUUGAAAGCCCAUCUGUAUGAAAAAGCCUGACAAUCAUACAGAAAAAGAACUCUGCUUCAUGGAGAGAGGAAAACCACAUGGAGAUUUGUCAACAGUCACCUCCAUGAAUCCUCUCAAAGUUUCCAGAGAGCCCAGCUACCAACUGAAUGCAACAGACAAAAAAGUCUUCUGUUGUAUUCACCUCUGGACAAUGAUGGAUUAA